UAAUAUUAACUAGAUCUAUAUUGGUACCAAGAGUCUAGAACUUAGAAAAGAGUCUACCAGUCUAAUUACAACUGUAAAAUAAGUCAUAGAGAUCCAGAAAAAAAGAUAUUCAAACAACUUUUUAGUUUAAUCGGUAGCUGGAGUUCCGGACGAGUUUCUUCUCUUGGAAAACAAUUUUUUUUUUGUCGUAAAAAAAUUUGUCAUUAUUUUUAAAAGCAAAUCGCUGUGAGGGAAAGAAAUCAAAAUGGCCAAAUAUAGCAAUCCGUUGUCAGUGCCUCAUCCCAUACCAAUCGCUACUAACAUUGCAGUUCAGCGCCAGGUUCCCAUUCUUGUUCCAGGCGAGGUGAACAUGCGCAGUAACGCACCAUCCUGUAAAUUCGCAUCGCCCGGUUUCGCUACCAUAAACCCUCCUUUUUCUUACUACUACCAGAUGACUCCUGAAAACUACACCAAAGCGUUCACCAGCGCGGGAAGGUUAGUGGGUGUCAAUCAAGAAGUGCCCUACCCGUACGAGAACCGCCUGUAUCAUCAAAUUCCCUUCAACAGAGCUGUGGACUGGAGUCAAACGGAUGUAUUCCUAUGCGAGGCGAAAAGCAAAGAGUGCAUGAUGGAACUGCUAAGAAAGAGGUCGGAGGCCGAGAACCCAAAGAAAAAACCUUGCUCUACGCAAGUUGAGCCUGCAGAGUACUUCACUGCAGAAAACGAUGAAGGAUACAAUCAAUGGGCUACACGACAACAGCAGGAGAACGGUGCCAAGGAGACCUCUACAUUGGAGAAAGAGAAAGCUGCAAUUCCGCAAGAUAUAAAAGACCUGCCCGGUCACUACGGUCCUUCACUGCUAGAAACAAGCAACGAAACUUACGGUCAGUACAUAGACUUAUUGCCCAAGUAUCCGGCAAUUUAUCCUCAGAAGGAGAAACUCUCUCCCGGUCCUCUGAAAGUGAUGGUGUCUUUUCGGCCCACGAACAUGUCCGACCAUCCUCCUAUCCCCGACCACGCUUUCGCCGUCGACCCAAGAGAAAUGGUCAACGGGGACUGCUGCUACAACAGAGGUAUUAACGGCGCCAUCUACUACCCAGAGGUCCCGGGAAGGCAGCACAGGACGUCUUAUACUUUCAGUAACCGACACAAAGGCCUAGGCCCUGCGGCAGGGGAGAAGACGCCAGGGUUUACUUUUCCGAUGUACUCUCUCACAGGUCUGGAACUGAACCGGCCGCUCCCACAACGAGUGGGCGUUGUGGCAGGCGUGGGAGGAAAAGAAAAGUUCCGGCUGCAUGUUCCUCCGCGGACGGUGCCCUUUAUCUACAAGAGAUACAUGUCUUACUCCGCGCCAGCCAGCAAGGACCCGGAAACUGAGCCCAAUCCUGCCAAGAUAUCCCGUAAACAGAACUGCGCGCCGUGCGAUCCGAAAACUUGCGUCUUAUCCAGCACCAACCCAUGCAGCCUUGACUUCAUAAACACACAAAUCUUGCCAGUUCCAAUCGAAAUCAGAAAACACCCACAAUUGUGAACAAAGGAAGUAGAUCUAGAGAUUCGUUGAGCCCGACAAAGUAACCAUUCCAAUGUUUUAUUGCACGAACUAUAGUUAUGGAAACUUGGAUUGGCCCAAAAAAAUAGGACAAGAUGUCGCCUCAAGGUGGACAAUUCAAGACACGCUCUCUCGUUUUGGAGAUAAUAGAGACUCCUCAGGCAGAACUCUUGAGCAGACGGAACGAGAGGGUGAGCUUAGAAGAUCUUAUAGUGAACUGGCAUCUCAAAUAGCUUACCGAUACCCUAAUCCAGGGUUGCCCAGGGCAAGAGAAGGUGCAAUGGGCGGAACUUGGCGACAUAUCAAGGAGGUACAGGCCUUUACUGGUUCAAGACUUUGUUUCAUUGAUGGAUUGGUCAGCCUGUACGACCAGGAAGACUUCAACGUGACCCCACCACUCAGCGCCAGGCGCGCACUGCAGCCACCUUACGCGCCUACCCAGCAAGAGUACGCCGCUAGCAAGCAAGGUGUAGUAUUGCCCGUAAUUGACAAUGAUAACCAGAGGAAAAUACGUUUGGCGCCAAAUCCCAAACGCAAGGGACACUAUCGAUACUGCUAACAUUUGCAGCAGUUUUUCUGCUCUUCACUGACAGUAUUAAUUCAUUAUUUUUUUCCUUCUCCAUCACAUUACGCACAGUAUUAUAUUUAAUUCAUGAGAUUGUUUUAGAUUUUAUUUUCACUUGUUCACUAUGGUUUAUAAUAGAAUAGAAUACUUUGUUUAAAAUUAUUUCUUUAUAAGAAUGUUUAUUUCUUUUUUUUUUUUUUAAAGUAUGGCCACUUUGUAGAUCUACCUUUGUAUUAUAAUUAUUAUUUUUAGGUUUUAACACUUGAAAUAAACUUAUCAGCUUGGUGGAUAUAAAUUAAAGCUAAUGAAAGAGAAUUCCAUAAUAGUAAUAAAGUUUUUUAGUUUACCGUUUGACAAUUACAAGCCCCAUGUUCCAGGGCAAAUAAAAAUGUUUUUAACAUCACAUCCUGGGCUUUAGAUAAAAUAUUACAAGAAAUGUAUCAGCUCUUGGUUUAUAAUUAAGAUUUAAAAAAAAAAGAAAAAAAAAAGGGGGAAUGACAAUACAACCUUAUGCUAGUACCAUUAGAAGAGAUUGCGUGAAUCAGCCAGGAAAAGAAAUGACUUAGGAGAGUUCAAUUGAAUUAACACAUGGAUACUUGUAUUUAAAUACAGUAUUCAGGAGGAGAAAGGUCAAGGACCAAAAAAAAAGUUGGGUUGAUUGAGUGAAAACAACACUACCAAGAUCCUCCCACUGAACCACAGUUCCACUGCUACAUUGGCCCACAACACUUCCCAAGCAAAACUGGGAUUGUUAGCCAAUUGAAGUUUUUUUUUAUUACUGUAUUAUUUAAGAAAAAAAAAAUGAUAAUUUCCAAGUCCAGAAGUUCACAACUGUCCAUGUAAUGUUUGAAAUCAGUGGAAGUUUUCUUCAUCAUGUCUUGUACUUGUUAGAGAUUGAUGAAGGAAAGGCUUUUUUUGUUCUUCAUCAGAAUACCUUCAUAUUCCUUUAGUUUUCUCUUCUUGAUAUUUUUCUUGAUAAAAAAUAAUGUUUGGCACUUUUAAACUGAAUUUAAAUGUCAAGUAACUUUUAUACACCCACAUUUCAAAGGGGAAAAAAGUUACAUUUUGCAAUUUUGUGUGUUGUUUAAUGCUAAUAAAGUUUUGUUGUU